CAAAGGUUUAGUCCUGACUUUACUAUCAGCCCUAGCCUAAUUUACACAUGCAAGUAUCCGCCCCCCUGUGAGAAUGCCCACAGUUCCCCUCUCGGGAACAAGGAGCUGGUAUCAGGCUCACCUUUCCUUCAAGCCCACGACACCUUGCUUAGCCACACCCUCAAGGGAAUUCAGCAGUGAUAGACAUUAAGCCAUAAGUGAAAACUUGACUUAGCCAAGGCUAACAGGGCCGGUAAAACUCGUGCCAGCCACCGCGGUUAUACGAGGGACCCAAGUUGAUAGACAGCGGCGUAAAGAGUGGUUAAGGACAACCAAAAACUAAAGCCGAACGCUCUCAAAGCUGUUAUACGCACUACGAAAGUAUGAAGCUCGACCACGAAAGUGGCUUUACUCCCCCUGAACCCACGAAAGCUGGGGAACAAACUGGGAUUAGAUACCCCACUAUGCCCAGCCCUAAACAUUGAACAAACACCACAACUAACUUCCGCCCGGGAAUUACGAACAUAAGUUUAAAACCCAAAGGACUUGGCGGUGCUUAACAUCCACCUAGAGGAGCCUGUCCUAUAACCGAUAACCCCCGUUUAACCUCACCCUUUCUUGUUUAAACCGCCUAUAUACCACCGUCGUCAGCUUACCCUGUGAAGGCCUAGUAGUGAGCAGGCUCGGCAUAGCCCCAAACGUCAGGUCGAGGUGUAGUGUAUGAGAGGGAAAGAGAUGGGCUACAUUCGCUAACAACAGCGAACACGAAUAAUGCACUGAAACAACGCAAUUGAAGGAGGAUUUAGCAGUAAGCAGGAAACAGAGUGUUCAGCUGAAACCGGCUCUUGAGCGCGCACACACCGCCCGUCACCCUCCCCAAGUCUACAAACUCAACAUAACUAAACCCCUAUAACUGCAUAGGGGAGGAAAGUCGUAACAUGGUAAGUGCACCGGAAGGUGUACUUGGUAGAAU
rnacentral:ncRNA from 1 species